CUCUAGAGAUAGAGCCUUCCCCUUCGGGGGACAAAGUGACAGGUGGUGCAUGGUUGUCGUCAGCUCGUGUCGUGAGAUGUUGGGUUAAGUCCCGCAACGAGCGCAACCCUUAAGCUUAGUUGCCAUCAUUAAGUUGGGCACUCUAGGUUGACUGCCGGUGACAAACCGGAGGAAGGUGGGGAUGACGUCAAAUCAUCAUGCCCCUUAUGAUUUGGGCUACACACGUGCUACAAUGGACAAUACAAAGGGCAGCUAAACCGCGAGGUCAUGCAAAUCCCAUAAAGUUGUUCUCAGUUCGGAUUGUAGUCUGCAACUCGACUACAUGAAGCUGGAAUCGCUAGUAAUCGUAGAUCAGCAUGCUACGGUGAAUACGUUCCCGGGUCUUGUACACACCG
rnacentral:rRNA from 1 species